rnacentral:sRNA from 1 species
CUACAUAAUCACCCGAAUUCUGCGUUUCGUCGAAGAAAUGGUGAAUUGCUCGCAAAAUCUGAUGAACUACUCCCAACACACGAAGAUUUCCAUCGAAACGUUCGAUAAUCUUCUGAAAUUGCAACCAAUGUUCGUUCAGGCGCUUUGGCAAAAGAAUAGCCCGUUGCUUCAGCUUCCACACAUUACAGACUACAAUUUACAGCAUUUGAGAAAGG